AUACCAUGAGACGCAUUCCCCGCGGGCCGCGGCCAAACAUUGCGCGAGCCAAGUAAUUAAUCUGGCAAAUCUCCACAUUCUAAUUUCUAGCCCUGCUUGCGCUGAUUGGAAUUUGGAGCCGUAAAAGAAGAAUACCGCAUGAUAAAAACAAAGAUAUGGGUUCGUCAUCGUCAUUCAGAGCAUUUGGCGCUAUUCUUCACAGGUUCUCUCAUGGGUUCUCCUCCAAAUGCCCCAACUCGUUUGGUCUCCAAAGAAAUGUUUUGCUAAGCAUAAAUUUAUCAUCCUCAUCAACAGUAUCAAAGUUUUGCCCAUCGUAUUUGUGUGAAAACAAGAAGUACAGUAGGCGUUAUCUUCAAGUGAGAAAGAUAUGGACAUUCUCUCCUGUCUGUAUGGGCAGGCGUUCCUCCAAAAUCGCUGGCAGAAAGGGGGCGCAAGAUGCGAAAAAGGCAAAGCUAUAUUCAAGGAUUGGAAAGGAAGUCGUAUCUGCUGUAAAGAAAUGGGGUCCAAAUCCAAUAUCAAAUACGGCUUUGGCUGCUAUACUAGAGAAAGCCAAAGAGCUUGAUGUGCCAAAGGAAAUUCUGGACCGCAAUAUUAAGAAAGCUUCUGAGAAGGGACAAGAGGCGUACAUUGAGAAAAUCUACGAGGUAUAUGGUUAUGGUGGAGCUAGUAUGGUAGUUGAGGUCUCAACAGAUAAGAUAAAUCGGUCUGUAGCAGCUGUUAGAGAGGUAGUGAAGGACUAUGGGGGAAAGAUGGCAGAUCCAGGAUCCGUAAUGUUCAAGUUCAGACGUGUCCGGGUUGUAAAUGUAAAGGUCACAAAUGUUGACAAAGACCAGCUCCUUGCCAUUGCUUUAGAUGCUGGUGCUGAGGAUGUUAUUGAACCUCCAAUAUAUGAAGAUGAUACCGAAGUAGAUAGGUUGGAAAGCUAUUAUAAAAUUGUAAGUUCAUCAGAGAACUACACGGCAAUACUAUCAAAACUACGUGAGGAAGGGAUACAUUUUGAGCCUGAUAAUGGUUCUGAGCUGCUUCCACUAACUGCUAUUGAGAUUACAGUGAGAAAUAAUGGGAAUAAAUUUGGGAAUUAAAUCAGAUUAGGGAGAAUCAUAUCAGCUUCAUAUCAAAAGUUUCAUUCUUCAACACUCUCCCUCAAGAUGAGACGAAGAUGUCUCGCAUGCCCAACUUGCACAAGGCUAAAUGAAGAAAACUAUUGGCGCUCUCUUUGUUAGAAUAUUCGCAAGUUGCUCUCAUGUCUACACAUAAAGUGUACAAAUCAAUCACGUAGAUGACGAGGCUAUGGAGUUAAACAAGGAACUGAUGAGCAAGUUACUUGAACUUGAUGAUGUUGAUGCCGUUUAUACAGACCAGCAGUGACUAAAUUUACAUCUCUACAAUUGGUGCGGCUAGACAGUAGUUGUCACUUCAGGUUCGUCUAUAAAACAACGUUCCCUUGCUCAGAUGACGUGGCAUUUUUGGAGGUGGGUUUGACGCUUUUUCUGUCACAGCUUGGUUAUAUUGCAUCCGGAAGAACAGUGAAUACUAAAAAUAUUUAUUUAUGAAGGACAAUUCAUAAGAUUAUUUCCCUCCAAUAAACUAGUAUAAGGAUUAAUACUAUUAUUUCCCUUCAAAAUAUAGACAAAAAAAUAAAAAAUAAAAAAUAAAAGAAGGAAAAGAUCAGGAGUGAUUGUGUGGCUAUCCCCUCCCUUUAGGUUGUGUAGCCACAUCUGUCUCGUUGGAGAGACCAACUCUAUUUUUAAUUUUAUUUUUUAUAAGG